ACUUAGUAGUACAAGUCUGAUCAGCCGUGUGGAAUUUCCCCUGCACUUUCCUCCAACCCCAGCUGACUGACCUCAGCAUCACCCUUAUUUUGUUCCUUUUUCUCUGCCAGCACAGAAAGCUAGAGCAGCCGUGCUUAAGAACGAAUAAAACAAAACCCUCAUGGCAGACACACCAGCUGCACUCACAGCCCUGUGCCCACAGCUGCAUGCCCCAGUGCCAGCUGGCUGCCUCUGAGCUGCGGCAGCACAUGGACUGACAGACACUGAGGGUCCGGGAUGGACAGUGGGCGCUGCUGUUUGGGAUGCGGCUGUGUGCACUGCUGGGAGAAACAGAGCCUGAAGUGGGUGCAGGUCUUAAAGUGAACCGAAAUCUGAAAACAGAACAGUUAUCCACCUAGGCAGGCACUUUCAAACAUGGCAGUGGCAAGUAAGGACAAGUUGCAGAGAAGUGCAUGCUGGUAGAUUGCAUAGCCUCUGAGGGUUGUAUUUCCAUAAGUUUUCCAGUUAGAUAGGUGGUGUCAGGUAUUUCUGAAGUAUUACUGGCUUGUACCGACUGCAUCUCACCUUAUGACGGCUCCUGAGAGUGAGAGCUGUUCUCUGGGUAUGUGAGCCAAGACAGCCUUUGUUACGUUUGAUCUAUUCCUCUGCAAAAUUGACUUUUUAAAGAAAUCAGUAAUGUAUUCUGAGCUGCAAUAACCAUCAUCUGCAGGCAUGCUGCUUUCAUAGCACUUACGCAUGUGACAAGAGUGCUGGAAGAUGUAAAUCAAAAGAGCAUUCUCCUCGGCUGUCCCCAGCCCCUUGAAAGCUCUGCUUAUUCCCUGGUAAACUGAGUGUGCUCGGUGUAUUGCUGACAUGAAAAUAAUCAGCCACUGUCCUCGGUGUGUAUCUCACUCUUUGCCAGUCCUCUCAGCUGAGCUGGCAGAGAUGACCCCAGCAGUGAGGGUUGUUUCUGCAGCUUCAUGGUGUAAAGAGUGACACUGGGAACUGGACACCUUGCUCUUCCCUAGCUGACAGUCUUUUGACACGAGGACAAAAUUGGCCUCCUAUUUCAGCUUGGCAUCAUUUUUGCCUCCACUCUGUGUGAAAGCAAAGGGUUCCUUGAAACGCUGGAAGUUUUGAUUAGGAUAAGUGCAUGGGAGUAAACUGGAAAUGAUCCAUUUGCAAAACCUGACAUCUGUGCUGUAUUUCUGCUAUACUUGCAAUUAAAUGAGGAGAGCAUGC
rnacentral:lncRNA from 1 species